AACGAACGCUGGCGGCAGGCUUAACACAUGCAAGUCGAACGCAUCCUUCGGGGUGAGUGGCAGACGGGUGAGUAACGCGUGGGAAUCUACCCAGUUCUGCGGAACAACAGUUGGAAACGACUGCCAAUACCGCAUACGCCCUACGGGGGAAAGAUUUAUCGGAAUUGGAUGAGCCCGCGUUGGAUUAGCUAGUUGGUGAGGUAAUGGCUCACCAAGGCGACGAUCCAUAGCUGGUCUGAGAGGAUGAUCAGCCACACUGGGACUGAGACACGGCCCAGACUCCUACGGGAGGCAGCAGUGGGGAAUAUUGGACAAUGGGCGCAAGCCUGAUCCAGCCAUGCCGCGUGAGUGAUGAAGGCCUUAGGGUUGUAAAGCUCUUUCAGUGGGGAAGAUAAUGACGGUACCCACAGAAGAAGCCCCGGCUAACUUCGUGCCAGCAGCCGCCGGGUAAC
rnacentral:rRNA from 1 species